rnacentral:rRNA from 1 species
ACUCUGGGAUAAGCGCUGGAAACGGCGUCUAAUACUGGAUAUGAACAGCGGCCGCAUGGUCAGUUGUUGGAAAGAUUUAUUGGUGAUGGAUGGACUCGCGGCCUAUCAGCUAGUUGGUGAGGUAAUGGCUCACCAAGGCGACGACGGGUAGCCGGCCUGAGAGGGUGACCGGCCACACUGGGACUGAGACACGGCCCAGACUCCUACGGGAGGCAGCAGUGGGGAAUAUUGCACAAUGGGCGCAAGCCUGAUGCAGCAACGCCGCGUGAGGAUGACGGCCUUCGGGUUGUAAACCUCUUUUAGUAGGGAAGAAGCGCAAGUGACGGUACCUGCAGAAAAAGCACCGGCUAACUACGUG